AAGUCGUAACAAGGUUUCCGUAGGUGAACCUGCGGAAGGAUCAUUACCGAGUUCGGGGUUUCCCAACUCCCACCCUUGUUUACCAGACGUUGCUUCGGCGAGACGUUGGAAGCAGCCAUCGGCAAUUCAUCAAAGACGCGCCGAUGCGUGCUCGCCGGACUCCAAAUACUCUUAGACUAUGUACAGUCGGAUGAAACAAGCAAUAUAUAAAAACUUUCAACAACGGAUCUCUUGGUUUUG
rnacentral:misc_RNA from 1 species